UCGAAACAAAUGCGCACCACUUGUUUACAUUUAAUGGAUGUCGCCCGGGCUGAAUGAAGCGCCAACAGGAGUGUUGGCGAGCUGCUUGGAAUCGUGGACCGACCAGUCAAUCAACAAGCUGCCGACGUCAUCAAAGCUUCUUGUAUACAAGGCGAUCAUCAGGCCAAUCUGGACAUAUGGUAUCCAAUUGUGGGGCACCGCCUGUAAAACUAAUGUCCGAAUUAUACAGACAUUCGAGAACAAAGCUCUCCGCAUCGCCACCAGCGCUCAUCCUCUGCACGACAACUACACCAUUCAUGAAGUCCUCAGCUUCCCUUGGGUGUAGGACGAAGUUAAGAAAAUCAGCAAGCGGUACAUGCAGAGGCUACAUGACCACCCCAACAACUUGGCGAUGAACUUGCUGGACAACAGCGAACGGACCAGGAGGCUGCUCAGGACCCAUCCUCUGGACCUCCCCAAGGACUAGCCGAAUACUACAACCACAUUCUAAAUGAAAUAAUAAACUGUAAAGUUUAUCUUUAUCCAAUUUAAUGAUUGUACAUGAUGGAUAGUUUUAAAUAA